rnacentral:rRNA from 1 species
GUCCACGCUGUAAACGAUGUCUGCUAGCCGUUGGGAUCCUUGAGGUUUCAGUGGCGCAGCUAACGCGAUAAGCAGACCGCCUGGGGAGUACGGCCGCAAGGUUAAAACUCAAAUGAAUUGACGGGGCCCGCACAAGCGGUGGAGCAUGUGGUUUAAUUCGAUGCAACGCGAAGAACCUUACCAGGUCUUGACAUCCAGAGAACUGUUCAGAGAUGGACGGGUGCCUUCGGAGCUCUGAGACAGGUGCUGCAUGGCUGUCGU